GAUGAACGCUGGCGGCGUGCCUAAUACAUGCAAGUCGAGCGAACAGACGAGGAGCUUGCUCCUCUGACGUUAGCGGCGGACGGGUGAGUAACACGUGGAUAACCUACCUAUAAGACUGGGAUAACUUCGGGAAACCGGAGCUAAUACCGGAUAAUAUAUUGAACCGCAUGGUUCAAUAGUGAAAGACGGUUUUGCUGUCACUUAUAGAUGGAUCCGCGCCGCAUUAGCUAGUUGGUAAGGUAACGGCUUACCAAGGCAACGAUGCGUAGCCGACCUGAGAGGGUAACCGCCCCCCCUGGACUUAGGCACCGUCCCGACCCCUUCCGGAAGGCGCCGUUGGGAAUCCUUCCCCAUGGGCCGAAGCCCUACCGGGCCACCGCGCCUGAGUUAUUAAGGUCCUCCGGUCCUAAAACUCUGUUAUUAGGGAAGAACAAAUGUGUAAGUAACUAUGCACGUCUUGACGGUACCUAAUCAGAAAGCCACGGCUAACUACGUG
rnacentral:rRNA from 1 species